GACGAACCGUGCGAACGUUGUUCGGAAUCACUGGGCUUAAAGGGCGCGUAGGCGGGCCACCCAGUCCGGGGUGAAAUCUUUCGGCUCAACCGGAAAAGGGCCUUGGAUACUGGUGGUCUGGAGGAAGGUAGGGGCAUGCGGAACUUCCGGUGGAGCGGUGAAAUGCGUUGAUAUCGGAAGGAACGCCGGUGGCGAAAGCGGCGUGCUGGACCUUUGCUGACGCUGAGGCGCGAAAGCUAGGGGAGCAAACGGG
rnacentral:rRNA from 1 species